rnacentral:misc_RNA from 1 species
GUAUUUGUUUUGCAUCAAGCAAAUAAGACGUUCUUAAGACUGUUGUUUGGUAUAAAAGAAGAGACUGAGGAUCGCCGUCGUUAUCCAACUUGAAUCCAAAGUCAUCUCCCAAAGGUGCACAGGGGUGAGAUGGAUUGAGAAAAGCGUUCACUUGCCCCAAAAGACCAGAACAGCUUCAUUCAAACUUCAUUAAUGAUCCUUCCGCAGGUUCACCUACGGAAA